AAUCAACGCUGGCGGCGUGCCUCAGACAUGCAAGUCGAACGAUUAAACUUCCCUUCGGGGAAGAUAUAAAGUGGCGCACGGGUGAGUAACACGUAAGUAAUCUACCUUCGAGUGGGGAAUAACAACCGGAAACGGUUGCUAAUACCGCAUAACGCAGCGGCACCUAAUGGUGACAGUUGUUAAAGGAGCAAUUCGCUUGAAGAGGAGCUUGCGGCAGAUUGGCUAGUUGGUAAGGUAAUGGCUUACCAAGGCUUCGAUCUGUAUCCGGUCUAAGAGGACGGUCGGACACACUGACACUGAAUAACGGGUCAGACUCCUACGGGAGGCAGCAGUCGGGAAUUUUGGGCAAUGGGCGAAAGCCUGACCCAGCAACGCCGCGUGAAGGAUGAAGUAUUUCGGUAUGUAAACUUCGAAAGAAUGGGAAGAACUCAAUGACGGUACCAUUUAUAAGCUCCGGCUAACUACGUGCCAGCCGCCGCGGUAAAAC
rnacentral:rRNA from 1 species